rnacentral:rRNA from 1 species
AGUGAACGCUGGCGGUAGGCCUAACACAUGCAAGUCGAACGGCAGCACAGUAAGAGCUUGCUCUUACGGGUGGCGAGUGGCGGACGGGUGAGGAAUACAUCGGAAUCUACUUUUUCGUGGGGGAUAACGUAGGGAAACUUACGCUAAUACCGCAUACGACCUACGGGUGAAAGCAGGGGAUCUUCGGACCUUGCGCGAUUGAAUGAGCCGAUGUCGGAUUAGCUAGUUGGCGUGGUAAAGGCACACCAAGGCGACGAUCCGUAGCUGGUCUGAGAGGAUGAUCAGCCACACUGGAACUGAGACACGGUCCAGACUCCUACGGGAGGCAGCAGUGGGGAAUAUUGGACAAUGGGCGCAAGCCUGAUCCAGCCAUACCGCGUGGGUGAAGAAGGCCUUCGGGUUGUAAAGCCCUUUUGUUGGGAAAGAAAAGCAGCAGGUUAAUACCCCGCUGUUCUGACGGUACCCAAAGAAUAAGCACCGGCUAACUUCGUG